rnacentral:rRNA from 1 species
UACGUAGGGGGCAAGCGUUGUUCGGAAUUACUGGGCGUAAAGGGCGCGUAGGCGGCACGACAAGUCGGAAGUGAAAGCCCGGGGCUCAACCCCGGAAUGUCUUUCGAAACUGUCGAGCUAGAGUGCAGAAGAGGCAACUGGAAUUCCCAGUGUAGCGGUGAAAUGCGUAGAUAUUGGGAAGAACACCUGAGGCGAAGGCGGGUUGCUGGGCUGACACUGACGCUGAGGCGCGAAAGCUAGGGGAGCGAACGGG